UGUUGAAAUUCCAUCAGAAUCAUCAUUAUGGUCAAGGUUGAAAUUUCAAUGUUAAAUAAUAUUGAAUCAAUGUUGCUAAUGUAUUGCUUUCUCAAUGUUGAAAAUCCAAACAUUGAAUCAAUGUUUAUAAUAAAUUUAUUUUUCAAUGUUGAAAAGCCAAACAUAGACUCAAUGUUGAUUUUUGGUCAGCCUCAUCUGCACACUUUAACACAAAUCAAAUUGGGUGAAUUUCUGUAUAAUUAAGUGAAAAUAUUUACGAUCCUAUAAAGUCCUGUUCAUUUUAUGACCUAAAGACCUUUCCCCCCAGGACCACCAUCAGACAAGUUUUUUGCUUUUAUACAGCAAGUAAAAAUUAUCUGGUCAGAUCAUCUCUAAAUAUGUGAGUGUUCAAGAAGAUUUCAAAUGUAUGAUCAUUUUGGGGAAUCAACAGCUAUUUUAAAUACGUUUAACAAAAAUGACCUAAAUGCCUUAGACAGAAAUGCCUUAGUUUACCAUCGUCAGAAAACUGUCAACUAAGUGUAUAUUAACAAACAACAAUCAUAAGUCAAAACAUAUUAUUAAUAAUCACAAAUCAAUGACAUUAUAAUUUUUAUUUUAUUUUAUUAUUUAAUUUUAUUUUUGCAGGAAUUGGUAAAGUUAUGAAAUAAAUAACCUAACAUUAGUUUUGUUGCUCUUAUAUCUCUUAUAGUGUUUGUCUAGCAAAUUUGCAUAUAAUUAUGUAAAGUGUUAUAGAAAAAAAAUCGUGUGAAAUUUAAAUUAACUUUAAUUUUCAUUUAUUGCUCAAUUUUAAUAGCCCAAAGAACACAGUAUAUAAUAAAAAAUUCCCCCACUGACUAUUAAAUGCGCUACACCCAGUCCAGUAGGUGGCAGUAAUGACCCUUCAGUUGCCAACCGCCACUCAGUUUAGAAGCGCAGAAGAUUAGAACGUUAAGUUUGGGCGCGAAAGGACAACGACAGUGCCAGCGGGGUUUUAGAGGCCCAUUAGAGUGAUUUCCUGCGUUCUCUCCCACAUGGUCAGCGAAUGGAUUAUCCAGUCACAGUACAUAAUGAAAGACUUGCCGAAGUUAGAAGAAGCUGAGUGAAUCUUCAGAGUGAUUCUUCAGAGAGAAGAUGUUAAGAUGUCUCACAAGAACCAAUGAAAUUUGGGAGACCUCAGAGUAUGUCCUUGCUGUGACUGUGCAAAAACAGCUAUGUUAUGCCCGUGAACGGAUUGGUGUAUAAAAGAGCCUGCAGUGUUCAACACUGUCUCUGUUUAAUGUGAAGUAAAUCCAUCACAUUUGCAUCAGAGGAGGAGCUUCAGUUACUGAAUAGUCCUAAACAAUGAACUGUGGUAAUGUUUCAAUUUCUAAAUGUUUCAAGAAGUACAGUUGUGUCUUUGAGUUUUGUAUGGUACCUGUAUCUGGUCAUUAAAAAUUGAAUUGAAUUGAAAUUGAAUUGCUUUUCCAAAUUCAAUUUGCUGAUGUAUGUUUAUGAUGUUGUCUUAAUUUUCCAGAGUCCUCUAGUGGCAAUAAUAUUUAUAAUUUUAAUUUGUACUUUUGUAUUUUAUGGCAAAAAAAAUUGAAUCAUACAAUUGUAUUUUACGAUAAUAUAUAUACAUUUGCUCGUGGUAUUUAAUUUCUUGAGUGUGAUGUAUCCUGUGUAAACUGUGUGGGUGUAUUGCAAGUUAGUGACUUUUUGGUUUAAAGUAUGUUAAUUGUAGCCCUACAUGGUCUCUGAUUUAAAAACUAGUCAAAACAGACUUGAUUUAGUAACAUUGAAUCCUGCAGUAGAUAAAGCUUGUUUUUUUAUAUUGCUUCAAUGUUGCUAUAUUGUUAAUUACACUAUUGAAAUGAUGUUCGAUAAACAUUGAUCUUAUAUCCAUCUUGAUUGAUUUUCCAUCAUUGAAAUAACAUUAUUCUAGGCUGCAAACCUGAUGAAAAAUCAAUGAAAAAUGUCAACGUUGUUUCAAUGAUAAUUUGGUUAAUGGCAUCAACAUCAAUUCUAUGUUGAUUCACUGUUGGUCUGCUACCUUAAGUGAUUGAAUUUAUGUUGAAUUAAGAUAUGUUGAUUCAAUGAUAAUUUGGUUGAUGGAUUAACAUCAUUUCAAUGUUGAUUCACUGUUUGUCUGCUAUCUGGGUAUUAUCCAGGUUGGAUGUUAGAGGGCAAGACCAUGGCAGCAGUGUGUUUAUGUGGGAACACGUGUGUUUCACAUCAUGUCUGUGUGACACGUGUUCCCAGUGUUUUGUGGCUGUCAUGGUCUUGCCUGACUUUGGUUAUAGUCCAGGUCGGAUGUUGGCAAGAUUAUGGCAGCAUUGUGUUUGUGUGGGAACACGUGUGUUUUCACAUCAUGUAUGUGUGACACGUGUUCCCAGUGUCUUGUCACUUUUACCCUACUCCCUUAUGUACUCGUGUCUUAAGUGAUUAAUUAUGUUCACCUGUUCCCCAUUGAUGUGCUGUCUAUAUAAUGCCCUUGUGUUCUCUGUGUGGUGUGCGUGCGUUGUUGGUAAUUCUGUGUUCAUGUUCUCCGUGACCUGUUCCAGUUAUUCCCGUGUUUGUGUUUCAUCACAGUGUUUCAGUUAUCUUCUGUUUUACCCCCUCGUGGGUGUUUCUGUUAUUCCUUUUUGUAAAUAAAUUAUAGUUAUAUUUUUAUACAUCUUUGCGUUUGGGUUCUCCUUUUGUUUUCACUUCCCGGUGUUUAUACUGGUCGUGACAGUUUAGACACGGAUGUUACAACAUGACAUAUCAAGCAAUCUCUUCUA